UUAAGCGACUAAGCGUACACGGUGGAUGCCCUGGCAGUCAGAGGCGAUGAAGGACGUGCUAAUCUGCGAUAAGCGUCGGUAAGGUGAUAUGAACCGUUAUAACCGGCGAUUUCCGAAUGGGGAAACCCAGUGUGUUUCGACACACUAUCAUUAACUGAAUCCAUAGGUUAAUGAGGCGAACCGGGGGAACUGAAACAUCUAAGUACCCCGAGGAAAAGAAAUCAACCGAGAUUCCCCCAGUAGCGGCGAGCGAACGGGGAGGAGCCCAGAGCCUGAAUCAGUGUGUGUGUUAGUGGAAGCGUCUGGAAAGGCGCGCGAUACAGGGUGAUAGCCCCGUACACAAAAAUGCACAUACUGUGAGCUCGAUGAGUAGGGCGGGACACGUGGUAUCCUGUCUGAAUAUGGGGGGACCAUCCUCCAAGGCUAAAUACUCCUGACUGACCGAUAGUGAACCAGUACCGUGAGGGAAAGGCGAAAAGAACCCCGGCGAGGGGAGUGAAAAAGAACCUGAAACCGUGUACGUACAAGCAGUGGGAGCCUCUUUAUGGGGUGACUGCGUACCUUUUGUAUAAUGGGUCAGCGACUUAUAUUCUGUAGCAAGGUUAACCGAAUAGGGGAGCCGAAGGGAAACCGAGUCUUAACUGGGCGUUAAGUUGCAGGGUAUAGACCCGAAACCCGGUGAUCUAGCCAUGGGCAGGUUGAAGGUUGGGUAACACUAACUGGAGGACCGAACCGACUAAUGUUGAAAAAUUAGCGGAUGACUUGUGGCUGGGGGUGAAAGGCCAAUCAAACCGGGAGAUAGCUGGUUCUCCCCGAAAGCUAUUUAGGUAGCGCCUCGUGAAUUCAUCUCCGGGGGUAGAGCACUGUUUCGGCAAGGGGGUCAUCCUGACUUACCAACCCGAUGCAAACUGCGAAUACCGGAGAAUGUUAUCACGGGAGACACACGGCGGGUGCUAACGUCCGUCGUGAAGAGGGAAACAACCCAGACCGCCAGCUAAGGUCCCAAAGUCAUGGUUAAGUGGGAAACGAUGUGGGAAGGCCCAGACAGCCAGGAUGUUGGCUUAGAAGCAGCCAUCAUUUAAAGAAAGCGUAAUAGCUCACUGGUCGAGUCGGCCUGCGCGGAAGAUGUAACGGGGCUAAACCAUGCACCGAAGCUGCGGCAGCGACACUGUGUGUUGUUGGGUAGGGGAGCGUUCUGUAAGCCUGUGAAGGUGUACUGUGAGGUAUGCUGGAGGUAUCAGAAGUGCGAAUGCUGACAUAAGUAACGAUAAAGCGGGUGAAAAGCCCGCUCGCCGGAAGACUAAGGGUUCCUGUCCAACGUUAAUCGGGGCAGGGUGAGUCGACCCCUAAGGCGAGGCCGAAAGGCGUAGUCGAUGGGAAACAGGUUAAUAUUCCUGUACUUGGUGUUACUGCGAAGGGGGACGGAGAAGGCUAUGUUGGCCGGGCGACGGUUGUCCCGGUUUAAGCGUGUAGGCUGGUUUUCCAGGCAAAUCCGGAAAAUCAAGGCUGAGGCGUGAUGACGAGGCACUACGGUGCUGAAGCAACAAAUGCCCUGCUUCCAGGAAAAGCCUCUAAGCAUCAGGUAACAUCAAAUCGUACCCCAAACCGACACAGGUGGUCAGGUAGAGAAUACCAAGGCGCUUGAGAGAACUCGGGUGAAGGAACUAGGCAAAAUGGUGCCGUAACUUCGGGAGAAGGCACGCUGAUAUGUAGGUGAAGCGACUUGCUCGUGGAGCUGAAAUCAGUCGAAGAUACCAGCUGGCUGCAACUGUUUAUUAAAAACACAGCACUGUGCAAACACGAAAGUGGACGUAUACGGUGUGACGCCUGCCCGGUGCCGGAAGGUUAAUUGAUGGGGUCAGCGCAAGCGAAGCUCUUGAUCGAAGCCCCGGUAAACGGCGGCCGUAACUAUAACGGUCCUAAGGUAGCGAAAUUCCUUGUCGGGUAAGUUCCGACCUGCACGAAUGGCGUAAUGAUGGCCAGGCUGUCUCCACCCGAGACUCAGUGAAAUUGAACUCGCUGUGAAGAUGCAGUGUACCCGCGGCAAGACGGAAAGACCCCGUGAACCUUUACUAUAGCUUGACACUGAACAUUGAGCCUUGAUGUGUAGGAUAGGUGGGAGGCUUUGAAGUGUGGACGCCAGUCUGCAUGGAGCCGACCUUGAAAUACCACCCUUUAAUGUUUGAUGUUCUAACGUGGACCCGUGAUCCGGGUUGCGGACAGUGUCUGGUGGGUAGUUUGACUGGGGCGGUCUCCUCCUAAAGAGUAACGGAGGAGCACGAAGGUUGGCUAAUCCUGGUCGGACAUCAGGAGGUUAGUGCAAUGGCAUAAGCCAGCUUGACUGCGAGCGUGACGGCGCGAGCAGGUGCGAAAGCAGGUCAUAGUGAUCCGGUGGUUCUGAAUGGAAGGGCCAUCGCUCAACGGAUAAAAGGUACUCCGGGGAUAACAGGCUGAUACCGCCCAAGAGUUCAUAUCGACGGCGGUGUUUGGCACCUCGAUGUCGGCUCAUCACAUCCUGGGGCUGAAGUAGGUCCCAAGGGUAUGGCUGUUCGCCAUUUAAAGUGGUACGCGAGCUGGGUUUAGAACGUCGUGAGACAGUUCGGUCCCUAUCUGCCGUGGGCGCUGGAGAACUGAGGGGGGCUGCUCCUAGUACGAGAGGACCGGAGUGGACGCAUCACUGGUGUUCGGGUUGUCAUGCCAAUGGCACUGCCCGGUAGCUAAAUGCGGAAGAGAUAAGUGCUGAAAGCAUCUAAGCACGAAACUUGCCCCGAGAUGAGUUCUCCCUGACCCUUUAAGGGUCCUGAAGGAACGUUGAAGACGACGACGUUGAUAGGCCGGGUGUGUAAGCGCAGCGAUGCGUUGAGCUAACCGGUACUAAUGAACCGUGAGGCUUAACCUU
rnacentral:rRNA from 1 species